rnacentral:rRNA from 1 species
GACGAACGCUGGCGGCGUGCUUAACACAUGCAAGUCGAACGGAAAGGCCCUGCUUUUGUGGGGUGCUCGAGUGGCGAACGGGUGAGUAACACGUGAGUAAACUGCCCUUGACUUUGGGAUAACUUCAGGAAACUGGGGCUAAUACCGGAUAGGAGCUCCUGCUGCAUGGUGGGGGUUGGAAAGUUCGGCGGGUGGGGAUGGACGCGCGGCUUAUCAGCUUGGUGGUGGGGUAGUGGCUUACCAAGGGUUUGACGGGGAGCCGGCCUGAGAGGGUGACCGGCCACCUUGGGACUGAGAUACGGCCCAGACUCCUACGGGAGGCAGCAGUGGGGAAUAUUGCACAAUGGGCGGACGCCUGAUGCAGCAACGCCGCGUGCGUGAUGCCGGCCUUCGGGUUGUAAACCGCUUUCGCCUGUGACGAAGCGUGAGUGACGGUAAUGGGUAAAGAAGCACCGGCUAACUACGUG